CCUACGGGUGGCAGCAGUGAGGAAUAUUGGUCAAUGGGCGAGAGCCUGAACCAGCCAAGUCGCGUGAAGGAUGACGGCCCUACGGGUUGUAAACUUCUUUUGUCAGGGAGCAAUUGGGUCCACGCGUGGGCUUAGCGAGAGUACCUGAAGAAAAAGCAUCGGCUAACGCCGUGCCAGCAGCCGCGGUAACACGGGGCAUGCGAGCGUUAUCUGGAUUUAUUGGGUUAAAGGGGUGCGUAGGCGUAAUAUCAGGUCAGCGGUAAAAAUUCGGGGCUCAACCACGCCGUGCCGUUGAAACUGAUGUUCUAGAGUAGGCGAGAAGGAUGCGGAAUGCGUGGUGUAGCGGUGAAAUGCAUAGAUAUCACGAAGAACUCCGAUUGCGAAGGCAGGAUACCGGCGCCCAACUGACGCUGAAGCACGAAGGCGUGGGUAUCGAAAGGGAUUAGAUACCCGAGUAGUC
rnacentral:rRNA from 1 species